AAGGUUUCCGUAGGUGAACCUGCGGAAGGAUCAUUAUUGAAUAAACCAGUGUGGGUUGUUGCUGGCCUCUUCUAGGGGUAUGUGCACACCUGCCAGUUGUUUCAUUCCCCUUCCACCUGUGCACAUUGUGUAGAUCAGACCGUCACUUCAGGCAUGCGCCCUGYGUGGCCUGGCAUGAGGACUUGCUCUGGCUGUCCUUGGGCGGGUAUGAUCUAUGUCUUUUAACCAACUCUGUAUGGUAUCGAAUGUUUGCUUGGGCUCUAAAUAAGACCCAUAAAAUCUAUACAACUUUCAACAACGGAUCUCUUGGCUCUCGCAUCGAUGAAGAACGCAGCGAAAUGCGAUAAGUAAUGUGAAUUGCAGAAUUCAGUGAAUCAUCGAAUCUUUGAACGCACCUUGCGCUCCUUGGUAUUCCGAGGAGCAUGCCUGUUUGAGUGUCAUUAAAUCCUCAACUCUCUCCCCUUUUUAAGUGGUUUGAGUUGGAUUUGGGAGCUGUGCUGGCCUAUUUGUGUCAGCUCUCCUGAAAUGCAUUAGCAGAGCCGAGUCUGCAACCUUGGUAUUGAUAGAUGUCUUACCAGGUGGUGGGCAAGCGAUGUGCUCAGCUUCUAGCUGUCUCAURUAGACAACAUCUGACGAUUUGACCUCAAAUCAGGUAGGACUACCCGCUGAACUUAAGCAUAUC
rnacentral:rRNA from 1 species